ACGAACGCUGGCGGCAGGCUUAACACAUGCAAGUCGAACGGGCACCUUCGGGUGUCAGUGGCAGACGGGUGAGUAACGCGUGGGAACGUACCCUUCGGUUCGGAAUAACCCAGGGAAACUUGGGCUAAUACCGGAUACGUCCGUAAGGAGAAAGAUUUAUUGCCGAAGGAUCGGCCCGCGUCGGAUUAGCUAGUUGGUGGGGUAAUGGCCCACCAAGGCGACGAUCCGUAGCUGGUCUGAGAGGAUGAUCAGCCACACUGGGACUGAGACACGGCCCAGACUCCUACGGGAGGCAGCAGUGGGGAAUAUUGGACAAUGGGCGAAAGCCUGAUCCAGCCAUGCCGCGUGAGUGAAGAAGGCCUUAGGGUUGUAAAGCUCUUUCAGCGGGGAAGAUAAUGACGGUACCCGCAGAAGAAGUCCCGGCUAACUUCGUGCCAGCCGCCGCGGUAAUU
rnacentral:rRNA from 1 species